rnacentral:rRNA from 1 species
GACGUAGGGUCCAAGCGUUGUCCGGAUUUACUGGGCGUAAAGAGCGCGUAGGCGGUCUGUUAAGUGUAGAGUGAAAUCUCCAGGGCUCAACCCGGAAACUGCUCUGCAUACUGGCAGACUGGAGUGAUGCAGAGGUUUGUGGAAUUCCUGGUGUAACGGUGAAAUGUGUUGAUAUCAGGAGGAACACCCAUGGCGAAGGCAGCAAACUGGGCAUUAACUGACGCUGAGGCGCGAAAGCGUGGGUAGCAAAACGG